AACAAGUUUGAGCGUAUAGGUAACAAUAUAGUCAAGAAGAUGAUGGGAUUAAAAUUAAUUGAUAAACCACGUGCUGAAAGGUUGACGUCGAGGUACACGGUUGCUCCGCGGAUCUACGGUUUGAGGAAAACACAUAAGAAUACAUUUGUGACAUCCAUGUGGAGUGACGUGUUUUUCGGCCGUUAACAAAAAAAUUAAAAUUAAAAAAACUAAUUGGAGGAUGUAAUUUAAUAAUCAAAAAUAUGUAUUGAUGCGACUAUAUACAUGAAAAUACAAGAGGUUGGAGAACAAAAUGUAAAUUUAAAGAGCAAUAACUA